rnacentral:misc_RNA from 1 species
ACGGCCGCAAACUUGCCCGACGGAAAUUAAAUAUGAUUGAUUAAGACUACCUUUUUUUUUUAUCAAAGUUUUUUCUCACAAACUUCAUUUUCAUGCUCACUGAACUCGACCUUUCAACAAGGCAAACUUGAAUAAAAACUUAGAGAUUGUGUCAUUUACAAGCGUGACAACUUCCGGUUUUCCGCGAAAGGAAAUAGCAAGAGCGGAAGCAACUUUUUUCUAGGAACAUCUCGUUAAAUUUGUACUCCUGGAAUGAUAACAUGGCCGGACGGAGCAGAUGGCCGACAAGUGCAUGGUAUGGAACUCAGAGAGAAUCACCGGAGUUCACGAAUGAAGUGGAACCACUCGCUACCAACCAAGAGUUCAUCCAGAAUUUAAUAAAGCUUCCUGAGGAGCUCAGACGACUCCAAAGUGAGAACGAGAGACUAAAGAAGGAAGCGAAUGAAGCGUCGCGUUCAAGGGUAAAUUCGCCUAGCCAGGCAACCAUUAGUGAGAAAUGGUUUAAAGACCAACUGGAAGCCGAGAAACGACAGCUCAGUAGAAAAUACAAAGAAAGGUUUUUAGAAGAACAGAAAAAAUUUCAGCAGCAACUUCAGGCUAACACGGAAACUCUUCAGAAAAACAACAAUGAGUUGAAUAAGAACCUCAAUCAAAGCUCAAAGGAGAACCAGGAUUUGAGGAAAAAAUUGAAAGAAUAUGAGCACCUUCUACAGGAGAGAAGCAGUGUCAGUCACAGAUAUUCCAGAGACUCUCAGAGGGUUAAUUAUGAGCAACAAAUAAUGAAAGCGAGACAAGUCUCCGAAGGAUAUCGCCGAGAGCUCGACAGAUUUAAAGAAAGACAUGCAGCUGUCUCGGAAAGAAGAGUUAGGUCUGAUCAGAGAAGAACUGAAAAUACGUUGAGUACCAACAGACAGUCUCAGCUGGAGAGCGAUUACGUCAUCGAUUUUAAGGACGGCACACGUGUUGAUGCAAUAGACGUCAUGACAAGCAAAUCUGGACGUCGGAGGGGGAGUAACAACACCUCACUGGAGUAUGUAAAGUGCUGUAGAUCGGCCUGCUUCAUAUUCGAGGUAGCCUUUGAAGUUGUUCUCAGGGUGAAAGAGUCCUUCGUCAAAUUCACAUCCAGUGUAAUGGAAACAUUGGCCGCUGAGGCUCCUGCGUUGGGGUCAGAUACGACAUCGUUCCAAAGCAAACUUUGGAACACGCUGUAUAACAAUCCAAAAGGCGAUGUGCAUGCCACUCAGGAUGUGAUCAAUGAGUUGAUGAUUCUCGUCAAAGAAAGAGCGAAGACACACGAUUUGAAUUCACUUGUUCAGGACGUGAAAAGAUCUAUUUCUGAAAAAUGGACUCGUCAUCAGUUGCAAAGGGGAUCUUUUCUCCUUGAAUUCGACUUGGAUCUCUUGUAUAGACUGAAUGGCUAUAUUAAAUAUUGCACGCAGUUUGCAUGGUGUACUAUUACACAGGUUCCUCCUCUGAGAAUUGACUACAAGACCACUGACUAUGACCCAAAAGUCCACGAAGUGAGUCAAGCGUUUAGUCCCUCCGAAGAAAGGAGCCCUUCUCGUCGAGCACUGUACUCAGGGUCACGCAAAAUCAAGUGCUAUUUGUGGCCUACUUUGUUAGACUGCGAUGGAAAAGUUAUCAGGAAAGGGGAAGUGUUGUUGCUAUAACGUGCUGAACGCUUAGACAGCGGAUUGAUUUCAAGUUAUUCCUAACAAGAGACGAGAUUAAACUUGGAAUAAUUUAAUCACAUUUUCUUUCUUAAAGGGGUUUUUUCACAUCCAUCGUCUACGACGUGGAAGUUACUUCAGGUUAUUGAUAAAAAGUAUUGAUUCUUUGUGCUCUUUCAUUCAGUUAGACCUGAAAAAUUUAAAUUCAAACCCCAAAAAUUCGAUCAUGUCGUGGUUCAAUGAGGUAACAUACUUAAGCGGGAGGCAGGCAAGACCAACCAUUAUUUUUGGUAAUAUGACACAGCAUAGUCUCAUCGGUUCAGGUAAAUGUAACAAAAGGACCAUUGCCGUGUGACUUCGCUUGACAUUUCAAAAACCUGAACGAAAGUCACUGUCAUAAAUAACACACAUAGUAUUCUCGUCCAAAGCACCCUAAGUGAUAUCAAAAUGCAAGAUAUUCUCCUGUAAAUGGGACCCCCAUUUACUCUGCAGAAAAAAUGGUUGUCCGAGGAUGAGUAUAGGAACUGCCUUAAUAUCGUUUCCUCGGACCAUUAGGCCAAGAAUUUAUUUGCCUGUUCAUUUGUCCACGUUUCUAAGAACGAAGACACUUUCGUUACCAUUUUGAAAGUCUGCUGACCACCUUCAAGCAUGCGCCUCAAUGCUAAGGCAUGCGUACAAUCAUCACAAAAAUUGUACAUGAUCAGUGUAACCGUUUAUACACGCUAGAGAAAGGACACGGUGCCACUUUCUGUUCUUGCCUCGCCUAGUCUUGAGAAUAGAAAGAACAACGUCCCGACGUGAUCUCGAAACGAAAAAAGAAAUGACAAGGCCAGGCAAACUAAAACAUCGGCAAGGCAAGCUAGGCUUUAACUGUUUUCCGAUACAAUUUAUCCUUGCUUUGCAACAAAAAAAAAAUCAUUUUUGUCAAUAUUUAUCCUUGCCUCGUGUAAAUGGGGAUUUAUUCACCUUUGAGAUUGGCUCUGAAAUAUGUAACUUUUAUGCUCUUUCAACUGGUUUACAUUAUUGCCACUGGAUUCUGAGCUGGAUAUUAUCUCUCACUUGGUUCUCGUGCAGUAUUAGGAUUUUAUCGCCAUCGGAACGUGGUUUAUUUGCAAGGAAAAAAACAACACAUUACCCAUGUCGGAACGGUAAAUUCUUAUGACUCCUGGGUUAUCAAUAUGCCACUCUCUAGUUACAACGUUUAGCAUUGUUAGAACUCGAACCAUAUAGCGAAGUAAUCUUUAAGAUGUUUCGCUGAGCUCUUACCAUAUUUCUCGUGUAAUAACAAGCCAGAAUCCAAAGUACGCUGAUUUGUUCACAAGGGUGCUGAUUUUAGUACUUGUUCUUCCUUCUCUUAUCCAGAAUAGCAAAGCUUACAGUCCAAAAAAUUAUAUUCUUGAAAACAAUCAAAGUUUGUUCCUUAGUCGUUUUUGGAGUACUGCAAUCAGCGUGAGAGAGCGUUGUGUUACGGGAGUACUUAAAUAGAACUGAAGAAGUUUCUAGAACGCUUAGUCAUGCUGACUCAUUAAGAACUCUUAAUGGAACUUUCUAGAACCCUUAGUCAGCAUAUUUUGUUAUGAUGCAACAGUAAUGUAAUGAUACUAAAAAUAAUUGCAUUACGAAUCCCCAGAACAUUUUGUAAAACAUAUACAAGGGGUCGCGAUCGGUUAAAGUUAGGCCUUUUUCAGUGAGUUAGUGUUGUCGUGAAGAGCCCAGAGGAGCUAGUGUUAUUACAGAGCCGGACUACAGAGAGUUGUUGGAGUUAUUUACUGUUAUUGGAAUCGUCAGCCGUGUGGUAGGGUUCCGUUGGAAAAAGUUUAAGUGGAUAUCGAUACGUUACAAGGAUCUCUCAGUGAAGAGAACUGUACUGAAUAUUUUGAAUUUUUCUCGUGGGGAGAACCUUAUGCCACUCUUUUCAAGAUUGUUGCUGACCACCGUGCCUUGUUCCACAAGUCUUAUGUCGUAGAGGGAAUGAUAUCAAGUGGUACGAACAAGCAAUUGGAUGUGGCUCCGGGAAUUUGUGACGAUAGCUAGGUUUCGUACCCAACCUGAAAUCUCGCGGAAGGCACAACAAUAACUGGGGAACUAGCUUCGUAGAAACGACUCGGGAGCGAGAGCGGGAACUCCGAUCCUCACGACUCCCUGGUAUAGGCGACCUCUUCAAGCGAGCUUUUACAGACGUCAAGGACGAGACAACCUUUUGGUUCCAGAGUAACUUUUAUUCUAGACCAGGCAAACAACUUGCAUGAAUUCUAGCGUACCCAACUUUGUAAUCGAGAAACAUUUUCAAAGCACUUACUUAAAUAUUGAACUGGUGUGAGGUUCUAUUGUCCUCUGAAUUGACAAUAUUUGAGUAACAUUACAAAAGAACGGAAAAGGUCUCUUUGAAGUCAAAUGAUUUGUAUCUAACUAUUCAUACGUCGAAAUUGGAAGAGCAGAUUCAAUAAACUUUAGGUCAUUAAAAAUAGGAAACUUAGACGAGAAUUCACAGCUUGGAUAUUGAAAAUAUACCCAUGGCAAUUACAACAGAGCAGCUUAUAAAAUAAAAUGAAGAAUACAAUUGAAAUUAUCUGCUUAUCAAAGGAAGGUUGGUGUUAAGCUUGAUCGUAUGAAAGGAAAUUGAAGUUACGAGUAUAAACUCAGCUGCCAACUACCAUGAGAACUAAUUUGGCCAGAAAGACCAUUAACACUUACAAAAUUUCUCUAGAAUUGAACAACAAAAGUAGCGAGAUGCAGCUAAACAAGUUCAGUUGAUUAUUCAAAAAUUACUGUGGCUUUUUCUACAUUUUUAAAACAUUACAAUGAAAGAAACUCACAUGAAUUGAAAACGGCUAGAAUCCCGAAAACAACGAAUAAAUAUGCUUUAACAACCACGCAGAAAAAUCACUAAAUUUUCCCGUAACAUUCCUCCCACCUUAAAUCGAGACCUACUGGUCGAGGAAAACUUCGAGAAACCGUAAGGGUCAUAAUGACAAAUAUGAUUUAGCAUUCUUAUAGCAGAUAAAUUCUUCUUCAGGUUGAAUAAUAUUUACUUCUUAAUGCGCUUAUGUCCUGUUUCUCACCUUGCAUAACCUUCUAUUUCCUAAAUAGUAACUAACAUACGUUUUGAAGGAAUUUUAAAGACCCAUUUCCAACCGAGAUGCCUUGCGCGC